rnacentral:rRNA from 1 species
UGCUGCGGAAGGAUCAUUACCGAGUGAGGGCCCUCUGGGUCCAACCUCCCACCCGUGUUUAUUUUACCUUGUUGCUUCGGCGGGCCCGCCUUAACUGGCCGCCGGGGGGCUUACGCCCCCGGGCCCGCGCCCGCCGAAGACACCCUCGAACUCUGUCUGAAGAUUGUAGUCUGAGUGAAAAUAUAAAUUAUUUAAAACUUUCAACAACGGAUCUCUUGGUUCCGGCAUCGAUGAAGAACGCAGCGAAAUGCGAUACGUAAUGUGAAUUGCAAAUUCAGUGAAUCAUCGAGUCUUUGAACGCACAUUGCGCCCCCUGGUAUUCCGGGGGGCAUGCCUGUCCGAGCGUCAUUGCUGCCCUCAAGCACGGCUUGUGUGUUGGGCCCCGUCCUCCGAUCCCGGGGGACGGGCCCGAAAGGCAGCGGCGGCACCGCGUCCGGUCCUCGAGCGUAUGGGGCUUUGUCACCCGCUCUGUAGGCCCGGCCGGCGCUUGCCGAUCAACCCAAAUUUUUAUCCAGGUGACCUCGGAUCAGGUAGGUUGCUAGAUCC